UAACACGUAGAAAUCUGCCCCUGUCCGGAGGAUAGCUCACCGAAAGGUGAGGUAAUACUCCAUAGUCUAUCUUGUCGCAAGACAUAGAUAGUAAAGAUUUAUCGGAGAGGGAUGAGUCUGCGUCCUAUCAGGUAGUUGGUGGGGUAACGGCCUACCAAGCCAAUGACGGGUAGCUAAUCUGGGAGGAUGGUUAGCCAGAGGGGGACUGAGACACGGCCCCC
rnacentral:rRNA from 1 species